rnacentral:pre_miRNA from 1 species
UGUUGUCGGGUGGAUCACGAUGCAAUUUUGAUUAGUAUUAUAGGAGAAAAAUUGCACGGUAUCCAUCUGUAAACC